CAAUAGCGUAUAUUAAAGUUGUUGCAGUUAAAAGCUCGUAGUUGGAUUUCUGGUUGAAGCGACCGGUCGGGCGUUGAUUCGUCUGCACUGGAGUCGGUUUUGGCCAUCCUCUAGGAAAGUGCGUCUGGUAUUAAGUUGUCGGGCGUAUGAUCCUGGUCUUUUACUGUGAAAAAUUAGAGUGUUUAAAGCAGGCCUUCGCCUUGAAUACAUUAGCAUGGAAUAAUAAGAUAGGACUUUGGUCUAUUUUGUUGGUUUGUCAGACCGAAGUAAUGAUUAAUAGGGAGUAGUUGGGGGUAGGUUUAUUAUUCCUACUUGUUCAGAAGGUGGAAAUUACUUUGGUAGUUAAACGGUAAAGGAAUGAACUAA
rnacentral:rRNA from 1 species